rnacentral:rRNA from 1 species
UUGGAAUACUUAACCAUAGAAAGUGAUAGUCUUGUAGUCGAAAAUUGAAACAAUCUAAAAAGAAUCCCAAGUAGCAUGGAGCACGUGAAAUUCCGUGUGAAUCUGCGAGGACCACCUCGUAAGGCUAAAUAUUAUUGAAUGACCGAUAGUGAAAUAGUACCGUGAGGGAAUGGUGAAAAGAACCCCGGGAGGGGAGUGAAAAGAACAUGAAACCAUAAACUUACAACCAGUAGGAGAACGACUAAAACGUUUGACUGCGUGCCUGUUGAAGAAUGAGCCGGCGACUUAUAGUUAGUGGCAGGUUAAAGCACAGAAUGCUGAAGCCAUAGUGAAAGCGAGCCUGAAUAGGGCGUUAGUCACUAAUUAUAGACCCGAACCCGGAUGAUCUAACCAUUGUCAGGUUGAAGCUUAGGUAAUACUAAGUGGAGGACCGAACCGACUGAUGUUGAAAAAUCAGCGGAUGAACUGUGGUUAGGGGUGAAAUGCCAAUCGAAUUCGGAGCUAGCUGGUUCUCCCCGAAAUGCGUUUUGGCGCAGCGAUAAAUGUUAUAAUUUAGGGGUAAAGCACUGUUACGUAUGCGGGCUGGUAAUUCGGUACCAAAUCGUUGCAAACUAAGAAUACUAAAUGUAAAAUUUAUCAGUGAGACUGUGGGGGAUAAGCUCCAUUGUCAAGAGGGAAACAGCCCAGAGCACCAGUUAAGGCCCUUAAAUAAUUACUAAGUGAUAAAGGAAGUGGGAGUGCCUAGACAAUCAGGAGGUUUGCUUAGAAGCAGCAAUCCUUUAAAGAGUGCGUAAUAGCUCACUGAUCGAGUAAACCUGCGCCGAAAAUGUACGGGACUAAGUAAUUUGCCGAAACUGUGCGAUAUAUCAAUAUAAUAUAUCGGUAGGGGAGCGUUCUGUUAUAGGUUGAAGUAUUAGCGUAAGCGAAUAUGGACGAAGCAGAAGUGAGAAUGUCGGCUUGAGUAACGAAAAUAUAGGUGAGAAUCCUAUACCCCGAAAACCCAAGGUUUCCUCCGGAAGGCUCGUCCGCGGAGGGUAAGUCAGGACCUAAGGCGAGGCUGAAAAGCGUAGUCGAUGGAUAACGGGUUAAUAUUCCCGUACCAUUAUUUGUUGAUAUCGAGGGACGGAGAAGGCUAAACUAGCCGGUUAUUGGUUAUACCGGUUUAAACGUUCAAGGUGUUAAUAUACGGCGAAAACGUAUAAAGCUAAAACGUGAAUACGAGAUGCUACGGCGUCAGAGUAGUCUAUGUCAGACUUCCAAGAAAAGCUCGCACUAUCGUAAAUAAAUAAUGCCUGUACCAUAACCGACACAGGUGGGUAGGUAGAGUAUACUAAGGGGCGCGAGAUAACUCUCUCUAAGGAACUCGGCAAAAUAACUCCGUAACUUCGGGAGAAGGAGUACCCUUUUUAGGGUUGCAAUAACAAGAUCCAAGCAACUGUUUAUCAAAAACACAGGUCUCCGCUAAGUCGUAAGACGAUGUAUGGGGGCUGACGCCUGCCCAGUGCCAGAAGGUUAAAGAAGCUGGUUAGCUUUGCGAAGCUAGUAACUGAAGCCCUGGUGAACGGCGGCCGUAACAAUAACGGUCCUAAGGUAGCGAAAU